rfam:Ehrlichia chaffeensis str. Arkansas, complete genome.
GGGUUUGUAGCUCAGGUGGUUAGAGCGCACGCCUGAUAAGCGUGAGGUCGGAAGUUCAACUCUUCCCAGGCCCA